AGAGUUUGAUCAUGGCUCAGAUUGAACGCUGGCGGCAGGCCUAACACAUGCAAGUCGAACGGUAACAGGAAGCAGCUUGCUGCUUCGCUGACGAGUGGCGGACGGGUGAGUAAUGUCUGGGAAGCUGCCUGAUGGAGGGGGAUAACUACUGGAAACGGUAGCUAAUACCGCAUAAUGUCGCAAGACCAAAGAGGGGGACCUUCGGGCCUCUUGCCAUCGGAUGUGCCCAGAUGGGAUUAGCUUGUUGGUGGGUAACGGCUCACCAAGGCGACGAUCCCUAGCUGGUCUGAGAGGAUGACCAGCCACACUGGAACUGAGACACGGUCCAGACUCCUACGGGAGGCAGCAGUGGGGAAUAUUGCACAAUGGGCGCAAGCCUGAUGCAGCCAUGCCGCGUGUAUGAAGAAGGCCUUCGGGUUGUAAAGUACUUUCAGCGGGGAGGAAGGGAGUAAAGUUAAUACCUUUGCUCAUUGACGUUACCCGCAGAAGAAGCACCGGCUAACUCCGUGCCAGCAGCCGCGGUAAUACGGAGGGUGCAAGCGUUAAUCGGAAUUACUGGGCGUAAAGCGCACGCAGGCGGUUUGUUAAGUCAGAUGUGAAAUCCCCGGGCUCAACCUGGGAACUGCAUCUGAUACUGGCAAGCUUGAGUCUCGUAGAGGGGGGUAGAAUUCCAGGUGUAGCGGUGAAAUGCGUAGAGAUCUGGAGGAAUACCGGUGGCGAAGGCGGCCCCCUGGACGAAGACUGACGCUCAGGUGCGAAAGCGUGGGGAGCAAACAGGAUUAGAUACCCUGGUAGUCCACGCCGUAAACGAUGUCGACUUGGAGGUUGUGCCCUUGAGGCGUGGCUUCCGGAGCUAACGCGUUAAGUCGACCGCCUGGGGAGUACGGCCGCAAGGUUAAAACUCAAAUGAAUUGACGGGGCCCGCACAAGCGGUGGAGCAUGUGGUUUAAUUCGAUGCAACGCGAAGAACCUUACCUGGUCUUGACAUCCACGGAAGUUUUCAGAGAUGAGAAUGUGCCUUCGGGAACCGUGAGACAGGUGCUGCAUGGCUGUCGUCAGCUCGUGUUGUGAAAUGUUGGGUUAAGUCCCGCAACGAGCGCAACCCUUAUCCUUUGUUGCCAGCGGUCCGGCCGGGAACUCAAAGGAGACUGCCAGUGAUAAACUGGAGGAAGGUGGGGAUGACGUCAAGUCAUCAUGGCCCUUACGACCAGGGCUACACACGUGCUACAAUGGCGCAUACAAAGAGAAGCGACCUCGCGAGAGCAAGCGGACCUCAUAAAGUGCGUCGUAGUCCGGAUUGGAGUCUGCAACUCGACUCCAUGAAGUCGGAAUCGCUAGUAAUCGUGGAUCAGAAUGCCACGGUGAAUACGUUCCCGGGCCUUGUACACACCGCCCGUCACACCAUGGGAGUGGGUUGCAAAAGAAGUAGGUAGCUUAACCUUCGGGAGGGCGCUUACCACUUUGUGAUUCAUGACUGGGGUGAAGUCGUAACAAGGUAACCGUAGGGGAACCUGCGGUUGGAUCACCU
rnacentral:rRNA from 1 species